UACGUAGGGGGCAAGCGUUGUCCGGAUUUAUUGGGCGUAAAGAGCGUGUAGGCGGCUAGGUAGGUCCGUUGUGAAAACUCGAGGCUCAACCUCGAGACGCCGGUGGAAACCAUCUAGCUAGAGUCCGGAAGAGGAGAGUGGAAUUCCUGGUGUAGCGGUGAAAUGCGCAGAUAUCAGGAAGAACACCCGUGGCGAAGGCGGCUCUCUGGUACGUGACUGACGCUGAGACGCGAAAGCGUGGGGAGCAAACUGG
rnacentral:rRNA from 1 species